rfam:Gemmatimonas sp. SG8_23 WOR_8-12_13256, whole genome shotgun sequence.
CGAGUGAGCAGUAAGGGCGCGGGGUGGAUGCCUGGGCACAGGACGGCGAAGAAGGACGUGGCAAGCUGCGAAAAGCCGGGGGGAGCUGCAAGCGAGCGUUGAUCCCCGGGUGUCCGAAUGGGGAAACCCGGCCGGGGUGAUGCCCGGUCAUCGUGUGGCUGAAUACAUAGGCUGUGCGAGGCGAACCAGGGGAACUGAAACAUCUAAGUACCCUGAGGAAGAGGAAACAACAUGUGAUUCUCCGAGUAGCGGCGAGCGAAAGGGGAGGAGCCCAAACCGUGGGGGCGUGACAGGCUGCAGCCGUUGUCCCUGUGGGGUUGUAGGGCGGAUCUGGAGGGGCCUGCAGGUUCUUCGGAUAGCGUACUUGAGGGAGCCGAAGCGCGUUGGAACGCGCCACCGCAGGGGGUGAGAGUCCCGUAGGCGGAGCUUGAGUCGUUGUCUGGGAUCCGUACCUGAGUAGGUCGGGACACGUGAAAUCCCGAUUGAAGCUGGCAGGACCAUCUGCCAAGGCGAAAUACGUUCCUGUGACCGAUAGUGAACCAGUACCGUGAGGGAAAGGUGAAAAGCACGCCGGGAGGCGAGGUGUCAGGCCUGACCGCGUGCCUUUUGCAUUAUGAUCCGGCGAGUUCGACCUGGCUGGCGAGGUUAAGCCGUUCAGCGGCGGAGCCGAAGCGAAAGCGAGUCUGAAUAGGGCGUCAGAGUCGGUCGGGCGAAGACCCGAAACCAGAGUGAUCUAUCCAUGGCCAGGCUGAAGCGGGGGUAAUGCCUCGUGGAGGGCCGAACCGUUGUGGGUUGAAAACCGCUCGGAUGAGCUGUGGAUAGGGGUGAAAGGCCAAUCAAACCUGGAGAUAAGAGCACUGGAUGGGCUAGGGCCCUUACCCGGGUACCAACCCCAACCAAACUCCGAAUGCCCGUCAGUUGGUCUCAGGGAGGCAGGGUGCGGGCGAUAAUGUUCGUACGCGAGAGGGAAAGAACCCAGACCCUCGGCUAAGGUCCCCAAGUGCAAGCUAAGUGAGAAAGGAUGUGAAUCUGCGUAGACAACUGGGAGGUUGGCUUAGAAGCAGCCAUUCCUUGAAAGAGUGCGUAAUAGCUCACCAGUCAAGCGGGUUUGCGCCGAUAAUGGUUGCUGCGGGGUAGGGGAGCGUUGUCUGAGCAUGGAAGCGGGGCCGGAAGGCUACCCGUGGAGCGCAGGCAAGUGAGAAUGCCGGAAUGAGUACACGAUAAACGGGGUGAGAACCCCCGUCGCCGAAAGCCCGAGGGUUCCUGAGCCAUGUCGAUCAGCUCAGGGUCAGUCGGCCCCUAAGGUGAGGCCGAAAGGCGUAGCCGAUGGGAAACGGGUCAAGAUUCCCGUACCGGCCACGAGCCGUU